GCUUCUCCCCCAAGUUCUGAAACUGAGUCCCUAACCAAGCUGGAUCGGUUAGUAUGCCCUGUUUCUUUUCUCUGCACGAGUGCGUGUGUGUCAGAGAGCAGCGUCCGCAUUGUGGCUUUGCGCUGAUUCGCUUCUGUUCCAAGUCCUGCUACUUUCUGUUCUGGUCAUUGCAUGGCUGCAGAGCUCUCCAUGUGUAAACCAGAGCCUACCCCGGACUGUGAGCGCACCCUUGGUGUUGGCCACAUCAGCCUCUUGGCUCUGCCUUCCUUAAUCUAUCCUUGCUGCACAUUUUGUACAACGGAUGCGAAGGGAUGGGGUAGAGGGGCAAAAUCCCCCUGCCAGUUCAUAAGCCCCUGGAGCCUGUCCACUUCCCUUUUUCCUAAUUCCUCCUCCAUCUUCCCUUGGUGCCUUCCUUUCCUCCUGCCCCUUCUCACUCUCGCUACUUUCUUGGUGCUUUCCUUCCCUGUCCAGACCCCCAGCU
rnacentral:lncRNA from 1 species